UCACUUUGUGGAAGCUGGUGUUUUUAGAGU
rnacentral:piRNA from 1 species